GUGUAUCUGCGCAUGUGCGGAUAUGAGUCAUUGUAAAGUUUCGUUUAGUUUAAUCUCAGCUCAGUUGACAACCCGACCGUUUUUGGACAACCCAGAAGCGGAAAACCGAGAUGGCCUCCACGUGGUGGGGGCAGCUCUCCGUGCCGGUGGAUAAUGGCACUGUCCAUGUGGACAACAGUAGCUGUUUCAGUGCCACGCAGAGCACUGUGCUGAAGGGGGUGAAUUUCGGAGGUGUGCCCAUCGUUCUGCUGCUCGAUUUUAUAGUCUUCCUGGUGCUGCUAUUGGUCUUCACUGUGAUCAGAAGGAGACUGUGGGAUUAUGGGAGACUCGCUCUUGUUGCAGAGACUGAAGGAGACUUCAGUAAACGACAUUACCGUAGAAUGACAUCAUCCAUAUCCAUUGAGGAGCCUGACUACGAGAAGGGUUGCUGCUCUUGGGUCACCUUUAUCGUCAAUAUGGAUGAGUCUACAGUCCAGGAGAGAUGUGGGGUGGAUGCAGUACAUUAUCUGUCAUUUCAGAAGCACUUGGUCACCCUGCUCUUGCUCAUCUGUGUGCUGUCUGUGUCCGUCAUCCUACCAGUCAACCUGUCCGGGGACCUGCUGGGCAAUGAUCCAUACAGUUUCGGGAGAACCACCAUAGGGAAUCUUAAGCAGGGUGAUAAGCUGCUUUGGCUGCACACUGUAUUUGCAGUUCUAUAUCUCAUGAUCACGGUGGCCCUGCUGAGACGCCACACCUCUAAAAUGAAGGGAACCAAGAGAGAGAUAGCCAGAAACACCCUGUUUGUGAGGUCUGUACCCACUGCAGCCAGUGAUGAGAGUAUAAAAACUCACUUUGUGGAGGCAUACCCUACCUGUCAAGUGACUGAAGUUAACUUGUGUUAUGAUGUUGCCAAACUGAUUGACCUGGACAGAAACAGAAAACGGGCAGAAAACAACCUGCAGCAUUACCGUAAGAUACUCGAUCGCCAGGGACAACGUGGGGUCAUCAACCCGCGCCCAUGCAGCCACCUGUGCUGCUGCUGCCACUGUGAGGGGUGUGAAAAGGUUGAUGCUAUAGAGUUCUACAGUUCACAAGAAGCUGCUCUGCUUGAGGAGGAAGAUAAACUAAAGCAGAGUAGGCUGUACCCUCUGGGCAUGGCAUUUGUCACCCUCCAAAAUGAGUACAUGGCCGCUUAUAUUCUGAAAGAUUUCAAUGCUCUAGAGUGUGGAGGCGGGACAAGGGGUGUGGUUGGAGAAGAAAUGGGUGGGGGAAUCACGUGUGGGUGUGGCCGAGAGCCUCAGCCGUCCUCUAAGAGUGCAGAGCUGAGGGUGCACAAAUGGAAAGUGUAUUACGCUCCUCACCCUCAUAAUAUUUACUGGGAGAAUUUGUCAUUACGUGGGUGGCGUUGGUGGCUACGUUGUGUGCUUCUGAAUGUUGCACUCUUCUUCCUCCUCUUCUUCCUCACAACACCCUCCAUCAUCAUCACCACCAUGGACAAGUUUAAUGUCACCAAGCCCAUUCACUAUCUGAACAGUGCCGUUAUCAGCCAGUUCUUCCCCACUCUUUUACUGUGGACCUUCUCUGCCCUGUUGCCCACUAUAGUGUAUUACUCUACACUGGGAGAAUCUCACUGGACCAGGUCUAGUGAGAAUAUGAGCAUGAUGUACAAGCUCUACAUAUUUCUGAUCUUCAUGGUGUUGAUUUUGCCAUCACUGGGCCUCACCAGUCUGGACGUGUUUUUCCGCUGGUUGUUUGAUAAGUCGUCUGUGGGAAAGCUGAGGUUUGAGUGUGUGUUUUUACCUGAUCAGGGGGCGUUCUUUGUAAAUUACGUGAUCACAGCGGCUCUGGUGGGCACAGGCAUGGAGCUGCUGCGGUUGCCAGGGUUACUGCUCUACAUCGUGCGUCUGGCACUCGCACAUUCGGCUGCUGAGAGGAAAUACGUUAAACAGAAUCAGGCAUACGAGUUUCAGUACGGCGCGAUGUACGGAUGGACUCUGUGUGUGUUCACGGUCAUCAUGGCGUACAGCAUCACCUGUCCUGUCAUCGUCCCUUUCGGUCUGCUGUACUUGUUGCUGAAACACCUGGUGGACAAACACAACCUGUACUUCGCUUACCUGCCCGCCCGCCUUGACCGGCAAGUUCACCUGGGAGCUGUCAAUCAAGCGUUGGCUGCACCAAUCAUAUGCCUGAUGUGGCUUUAUUUUUUCUCUGUGCUCAGGACAGGCUUCAUGGCAGUCACGUCACUGUUCACACUAGUGGUUCUGUGCGUCACCAUCUUUAUCUGUAUAAGCUACACUUGCUUUGGACACUUCAAAUACCUCAGUCCCCACAACUACAACAUUAAGGAGGAAGAUGAAGACGCAGCAUCAACAUGCUCAUCUGCAUCGGUGUAUCUUCCUAAAGUUCUGAACCCAGACGCGUCGUCCGAGUCUUCUGAUGAGUGCAGCACUCGGCAAUCCUACGGCACGACAGACACAAGCCCGCCCUUCCUCAGCACUGAGGAAGACUGUCCAGACUCUGAUAUCUAACAACAAUUAUCAGUCUACAUGUAGACUGAUCCAACUGCCCUUUGGAGGAAAUGGUUCUUGCCGUAUUGGCGGUUGGAGAUGGUGCGCGCUCUUUUCGGAAGCCAUGAUUGAUGCCUCCUCUGACCCCGUGACCCGGAGUACGUAUGACUGAUCUCUAUGCCAGCCAACCACAAAGCCCGACGGCAUUGAUUUCCCCUUCUUAUCCCUCCCUUUUGUCUGCUGGGAUUAUUCCCAUGGCAACGCUGGUGGUCCGUAAGGUAACGUUCUCAGAGCCGAGAGUAAUAGACCCUCGCCAAGCCCUGGGGGUAAACUUAUUCCACUUCACCCAAACAGAACUUUUAAGGGAAAACUAAUAGCAAAGUUUUGUUUCCUUGCCAGACGUCUCUUAAGGUUUGCAGAGUUUACUCAGCGAAGAAACAGAGCCAGAAAGAAGAAAAAAAAACGAGAAAAGAAACUGAAGAAUUAGAGGGAGAAUUCCCAGAUUGGGACAUUUGCUCCAUUAUCUGAUCAUCAGCAGAAUAAGGGAUUGUUCACCAAAACUAUUUCUGACUUGUUCUCUGUCAUCGUUUACUCGACUUCAUGUCGUUGAAUAUGAUUUUCUUUCUUGUGGGGAAGAAACAGAAUGAGGAUAAGUACUGAGAU